GGUCAAGUUAUUAAGGGCUUACGGUGGAUGCCUUGGGACCAAGGGCCGAUGAAGGGCGCGGUAAGGCUGCGAUAAGCCUCGAUGAGCCGUCUAACAGGCAUAGUCGAGGGUUCCCGAAUGGGGAAACCUGUUCCGGUGUUGAGCCGGUUCAUCCCGAUGCAAAUCGGGAGGGUAAGCGGGGGAACUGAAACAUCUAAGUACCCCGAGGAAAAUAAAUCAACCGAGAUUCCCUGAGUAGUGGCGAACGAAAGGGGAAUAGCCCAAACCAGUACGACUUAGUGGCAUGAGGGCCUAUGUCGUAUCGGGGUUGUAGGGAGCACCUUGGGUCACCUCAUUAGACCUGAAGGAGUUACAAAUCUCGUCUCUAGCCGAAGGCGCCUGGGAAGGACCGUCAUAGAGGGUGAAAGCCCCGUAGGCGAAAGAGUCGAGACUCCUGGUGCCCACCCUGAGUACCACGGGGCACGUGAAACCUUGUGGGAAGCUGGGGGGACCACCCUCCAAGGCUAAAUACCCUUGGUCACCGAUAGCGUACCAGUACCGUGAGGGAAAGGUGAAAAGAACCCCUAGCGGGGAGUGAAAUAGAUCUGAAACCGUAAGCCUACAGAAGGUCGUAGCCCUGACUUCGGUCGGGGUGGCGGCGUGCCUAUUGAAGAAUGAUCCGGGGACUUACUGUAUGGAGCGAGGUUAAGGGACUGGAGUCCCGGAGCCGUAGCGAAAGCGAGUCUGAAUAGGGCGGCUAGUUCCAUGUAGUAGACUCGAAACCGGGUGAGCUACCCAUGGCCAGGUUGAAGGUUCGUUAACGCGCACUGGAGGACCGAACUCGUGGCUAGUACAAAAGCUUGGGAUGAGCUGUGGGUAGAGGUGAAAUGCCAAUCGAACUCGGAAAUAGCUAGUUCUCCCCGAAAUGCAUUUAGGUGCAGCCUCGGGCACAGGUGGACGGAGGUAGGGCACUGAAUGGGCUAGGGGGCGUGAGCUUACCAAACCCAAUCAAACCACC
rnacentral:rRNA from 1 species